rnacentral:lncRNA from 1 species
UUUUUGAAAAAUCAAUAAAUUAUGUUGUUAAUUUUAGCUCUUUAUCUUACAUGGAAAUACGGAAUAUAGAUCUCAAGUGGAAACAGGCAUACAUAUGUAUAUAUUCGAAUAGAUUGAUUUUACAGAGCAUUCUUUUUUUUUUUUUAAUUCGAUAUCUUAGGGCCUUUCAACUCAUCACAUUCAUUCAUUAUGUGGGAAUGAGUGUUCCAUGGAAUAUAGCUUUGAAGGCUCUAGAUUUGGUUUUCAGCAUCGACGGAAUCUUAACUUACCAAAGUGAUAAGACUUAUAUGCUUACUUCAACUUUCACUUUGAACCAUGUUUUUUUGGCAUAACACUAUUUGAAUCCGGUUCUCCUAUGUAGGUCAAAUUAGCAAUGCUACAAAAUAAAAAGAUAUGAAGUUGGCAACCAGAAAAAAAAAAAAAUUUACUAAUUGAUGUUACUAAUCAUUACUGUCAGCUCACUACUACUCCGAGAUGAACAUGUAGUUUAUUU